CACACGCACACAUUACCUCAUACACAUACACGUUUGCUGUACAUAUACUGAUGCGUAAUUUCUCUGUCUCUGUCUCUCUCAUCCACUCAUACUCAGGCGAGCUUGGUGGGAGAUCAUUGUCUGAGCCCCCCUGAUCGACUGUCUCCCUGGGAUCACAUUUCAGACCAUUAACACCAUUAAAAACCCACUAAAGCCACUAAAACCUCAAAGAACCAGCAAGCAUUUAACCAUUAAGACCGACAGAAAAAACCCAACUGCCUCAUUGGUCAAAGCAGACAUUUAAUCAGCCCAACUACCUAUGUGAUGGAGGAGGACGAGCCGUCCUUUCUGGAGGCUAUAGACUACAGCGCAGAAAGUGACAAUGAGGACGCGGAGCCCGAAAACGAGCACGGCAACAACGUCCACGAGAAUCCCGACCACCUUGAUCAACUGUCCGACUCGUACUAAUCGCAGGGAUCAGCGCUGCGGGGUUAAUCUCAUCUGUACCUGGCAGUUUGAGCUUACAAACAGCCGGUGCCUGGGCUUUUAGAUGAUCUAAAUUUAAAGAUUUCACAGGUGACAUAGCAACACUUCUCACAUUGACUGCUGGAUAAAUAGCAUAGAUUUAAACCUGACCCUGCUGUAAAUACAAAUCCAAAUGCUACAUAAGCACCACACAGGUGUGCGUCGACCUGAUAGAUUUACUCUUGUCUAUGCGGCUGACGUGCUGCUCCUAACGGUACUCCACCUGCCUUUCACUUCAGAUAGACUGAUAUAAGCUACAGUAAUACAAAAAAUAAAGCUUCUAAUGAAUGUUUUCACCUUUCACUACCAGAAUUUAAUCAUCAUGAACUGUAAGCCUUGACCUCAGACACCAUAUAGCCUCUGAGAUUCACAUAUAGCUGCACAGGGCUGCAACCAGCAGGCACUUUUGACAUUUAACUUGAACCCCGGUCCACUCGCUGCUCCUUUUUUAUCACUUCCAAACUCACGCUGAAGCUUUCUGCCAAGGUUGUAGUUGUAUAAUAGAGCCAGUGGCUUCUGUAGGCUUUGAAAGCCCUCUCAUCUGUGACGCUGUGUUUGAUAGAAACACUUCUGCAGGUGAUUUAGGGAAACUGGAUCUCCUCCACUGGCCAGCACCGAGAUCCAAUCUGCCUGCCUUCUUAUUUCCUCUUUCUAGCUUUCUUUAUUGUUGCCCUGCACUUUAACUUUGUAUUCAUUUAGUUUGUUCAGGCCUUCUUUGCUUGUCUCUUUCUUUUCUUUGAGAAGCCAAGGUAUCACUGUUGAAAUGGGAUGCACAGAUGAUCAAACAGCUGUCAUAUCUGAACAUCAUUUGAACAAGAACCAGCUCAGAUGUAACCAGACUUGAGCCGUGACCUUACUUCCUUCCCUCUUUGGCAACGUGACACGUGGGCCGAUCACCCAUGUGCUCUCUGCCUUGCUUUAUCCAAAACCGAAGCUAUUCAUAUCACACACAAGCAGAAUGUUCACGUCUUUAUAAAGACAAACCUUGUACAGUAUUUAAAACGUGGAUGUAAACACUGCAAACUAACAUCAGUGACACAUUUAGGUGGAAUGUAUAGCAUCCACAUGUCGGUGUUUUCAUUGUUUUUUAUGAACCGUGUUAGUAUAACAAAGUAGUGAUGAACAAGAAAGCAUGAGCUGCACAGAGAGCAGAAAACCCUUGCGCACUUUGGACAAACACAAAUCACACAGAACAAAGACAAAGUGAAUGCGAGUAGUGUGGAAACCUCAUCUUUAGUCACCUCGUUUGUUUGAGCCCAGCCCAAAGCUCGACGGUAACACUUCUCUUUUGUCUAUACUGGAAUGUUUUUCCCGUCGUUGUUCUUUCCUCUUGUGUGUAUAUUUUGUGGAGUUGUGUAGGACAGACCCAUGUGUAAAAACAGAUGGUGCCGAGUAUCAAAUUGUUUUUUUUCCUGCUCAUAGAGAUGUGUUUCUGUUGUACAGGUUGAUUUGUUUGUUUGUUUUUUGCUUGCUGUUUUUAAAUUAUUAAGUAUUUUUUGUGUGAUGCUUCCUGUACGUACAUUUUUCUGUGUGGGUGCAGACUGUGUGUGCACAUUUGCAGGAGUUUAAGUUAUUCCAUUAUUCUGCUCAGCUAAUGCUCUUAAAGUGUGUUUCUGCUUUCAAUUUGAUUAUCCACUCUAACUCGGCUUCACUCCCCCAAUAAUUUUUUCGCUCCUCUCUUUCCUUCUAAACCCAUUUCACUCCUCUGUUUUCUGUCCUUUGCUUCCUUUUAAGUUUUGUUUGGGACAUCUUAGAAACACAGCAUUAUUGUCGUGCGUGUGCAUGUGUGUGUGUGUUUGAGGGAUAUCCACGUGUAAUUUCAGUAUAAUAUGCGAUACGUGUCUGUCAUGUUUGUCUCUUGCAGCUUAUGUGCAAUGCUGGGCUGCGUUUGUUGGGAUAGUUAUUCAUUUUAAGUUGAUUGUACUGCAGAAAAUAAAAGCUAAGACUGAAUACAUGGGAAAUAAAAUGUGAAUAUGGUAAACUGCUGCAUUUUAUUUAUUUCAUAUUUAGUUUUUUGUUCCUGAACUGUACACUUUUCACUAUGAUACUGACGUGUGUUUUGUGAAACUUGAGUGAGCAAGAAAUUCACAUAAAAUCUGUCCUCAUGGAAACAUUUCUCUUUGAAUUUAAUAAAACAACUGUAAUUGAUCCUAAAGAUAUGAGAAGCAAAACACAUUAAAAGAGCUUCUUUUCUUUCUGUUUUUUUUUUUUUUUUUUUAAAGGAAAAAACGUUUUCAGGCUGUGUUGACUUUCAAGCUUGUAAACUCUGGUUUUGGUGUCAAUAAAUCACUGCAC
ensembl:lncRNA